rnacentral:rRNA from 1 species
GCACAAGCGGUGGAGCAUGUGGUUAAUUCGAUGAUACGCGAAGAACCUUACCGGGGUUUGACAUGCAGGUGAUCGCCGUUGAAAGACGGGUUUCCUCUUCGGAGGCACCUGCACAGGUGCUGCAUGGCUGUCGUCAGCUCGUGUCGUGAGAUGUUGGGUUAAGUCCCGCAACGAGCGCAACCCUUAUCCCCAGUUGCCAUCAGGUAAAGCUGGGAACUCUGGGGAGACUGCCGGUGAUAAACCGGAGGAAGGCGGGGAUGACGUCAAGUCCUCAUGGCCCUUACAUCCCGGGCUACACACGUGCUACAAUGGCAGGUACAGAGGGCUGCGAAGCCGCGAGGUGGAGCGAAUCCCAGAAAACCUGUCUCAGUCCGGAUUGAAGUCUGCAACUCGACUUCAUGAAGGCGGAAUCGCUAGUAACCGCGAAUCAGCAGGUCGCGGUGAAUACGUUCCCGGGCCUU